rnacentral:lncRNA from 1 species
UCCCACAUACUGGACUGCUUGCGCCAGAACUUGAGCCACUACCCAAUCCCAGACCAGACUUGAUCUUGCUCCAGAACUUAUUCUUUGUACCUUUUGCCUUUCCCCAUUUCUUGCUGCCUGAAGCUGCUGCACUAGGGGUCUUAGAACCCGAAGGCUGUGCCACUUGCUGUUUUACUAUAUCCUGAAUGAUGGCACUUGCCUCCAUCUUCCUGGCUGCAUCCACAAUAGAG